GCCUCACAGCCUGGAUAGUUGCUGCUGGUCUGCUACACAGACCAGCAGCAGCUAUCCAGGAUGUGAGGAA